UACGGAGGGGACUAGCGUUGUUCGGAAUUACUGGGCGUAAAGCGCACGUAGGCGGAUUUGUAAGUCAGGGGUGAAAUCCCGGGGCUCAACCUCGGAACUGCCUUUGAUACUGCGAAUCUCGAGUCCGGAAGAGGUGAGUGGAAUUCCUAGUGUAGAGGUGAAAUUCGUAGAUAUUAGGAAGAACACCAGUGGCGAAGGCGGCUCACUGGUCCGGUACUGACGCUGAGGCGCGAAAGCGUGGGGAGCAAACAGG
rnacentral:rRNA from 1 species